rnacentral:rRNA from 1 species
CCUACGGGUGGCAGCAGUGGGGAAUAUUGCACAAUGGGGGAAACCCUGAUGCAGCGACGCCGCGUGAGUGAAGAAGUAAUUCGUUACGUAAAGCUCUAUCAGCAGGGAAGAAACACUGACCUUACGGUCAGCAGACGGUACCUGAGUAAGAAGCCCCGGCUAACUACGUGCCAGCAGCCGCGGUAAUACGUAGGGGGCAAGCGUUAUCCGGAUUUACUGGGUGUAAAGGGAGCGUAGACGGUGCGCCAAGUCUGGAGUGAAAUGCCGCAGCUUAACUGCGGAACUGCUUUGGAAACUGGCGAACUAGAGGGCGGGAGGGGGAAGGGGAAUUGCGAGUGGAGCGGUGACAAGUGUAGAUAGUAGGAGGAAGGCGGGGGGCGAAGGCG